CCAACAGGACAUUUUACAAAGGCUUAAAGACAUUUCACCAGCUGAGAAUGAAGAUGAGCUGGAAGUUGGAGUUUAUUAUUCUUGGGGAAUUCAGAGUUUUGCAUUGACCAUGCACAACCGCAAUGGAGAAGUUGGUAGGAGAGAAGCUGGAGACUGCUGCAGUGGGGAGGGCACCCAAGCUUUCGGCACCCAAGAAUGCACAAUAAACAGUCAAGACGGUGGCUCUUAUAGGACCUGAUCUGCCCAUUGAAGUCCGUGGAAGACAUUGACUUCCAUGAGUUUUGGAUCAGACCCAUAUAGUGCUAAAAGAGUUGGAUAUAAGAUGCUAAUUUGCAGCACUACAGAAAGACACAGUGGAAGCUUUGCUAUAGAUUUCCCCACUUUGACUCUGAUUCAACAAAGCGCUUAGGCAUAUGCAGUCACUUCAUUGACUUAAACGGAACUCCUUCUGAUUUACACCAGUGUAAAUGCAAUGAGGAUCAAGCCCUUCAAAUAUGGGUCCAAUCUCCUAGCACACAUUCUUCAGCAAGGUUGGCUGCAAUAUAGAACUGAAGAGCCAGCAAUGCGUUACCAGGCGUUCAAGAGCUACAUUAUGGUCCAUAUGUAACCAUAUAUUACAUAUCCAUUGUACUGGCUCAUAUGUGAUAGCGUAUCAUAAUACUGUUGGGGUGACUUACUCAGUAUGGUUUGGAUUUGAUGGUGUUGUCCAAAGAAAUGUUUAGCACAUCCCAUGUCUGCUGAUGUUCCAUAUUAAAGCCAAGUGUACUAACCAAACUACCCUACCAUGCAAAGCAGGUGAGCAUGUGAGAUUGUGGGCAACAGAACACUGAGAAUAUCACAGCGACAGAAACUGCCAUACGAGCAUCACAAGUUACAGUAUGUGGUGUCUAGAUGCAGUACUGUGAUGACAGGCAAAUAACAAUUAAGAUACAUAGACAGAUGCCCAUUUUCUUAGCACCAGCUUUUUUCACCUAGUUUUGGAUGCUUUGUACCCUUUUAAUCUAAACACACACAUUUCCUCCCCGCCCCCCGAAAUCUGUAUUUACUGUGUAAUGAUCCCAUCAAAUGUGUCAUGGGCAGGGCACACGCACCAUUUUAAUCCAGCCACUGCACAUGUCUGAGAGAGAAUGUCAGGAGUCUUUCCUGUGUAAUCUCUGUACCACCUGGCCCACAGCAGCAGCAGUAAACCAAAGACAAAAAAUCUGUGCUUUGCCCUCAAAAUAUAUUGCAGGGGGGCAAGCCAGGGAAGUAUUGUAACCCAGGCCUGUUUGGUGUGAUGCUCUGUCCCCCUCUAGUGGCACCUAGCCCAGCUAGUGAUUGAUGACUCUGCUACAGCCUUGGCUAAGAGAUCUGUGUCUUUUAGUUCAUGCAAUAGAGGCUCAAACACUAAACUGCAGAGAUCCCAGGUUCGAUCCCACCCGCCGAUGACCAGGUGUGUGUGUGUGUCUGUCGGUGUUACAGUAACAGGAAACAUUUCUUCCCUCUCCGGACUUGCAAAUAGCCAGGUCAAAGCUACUUUGCAGCACACUGGCUUGAGGAGACAUAGCUGGGCUUUGAAUUCAGCUGCUGCCCACGAUGAUGCAAUGUUCUAUAACAUGGCCAGAGCAACUUUUAAUGUCUGAGUAAUGAACUACUAAAAAUAAAGCAGAAGCUCCUCAGCAGGUAUAAAAAUAAAUAAUAAUACUUUGCACUUGUGCAGGGCAGUGCUGUUUCUCUAAAUAAAGGUGAAGUGAUUUGUCCAAGUUCAAUCAGUGUCAGCCUCAGGAACACGUCACAUGACCUUCCCAGGUCUCUUUCCUAGCCACUUUAUCAUGCUCUCUCUUCUUUAAUGAUCAUGUACGCAAAAAACAAAAUACUACAAUAGAGGAACCAAAGAUGAUGUUGGCAUAAAUUCCUCCCUCUUUGUGGAUAAUUGCUACCUCUUGUCCUAUGAUGACAAUAAUGUACAUUAAUGUACUAUUAGCGCCUUUCAUUCCAGAGUGUGCUUUAUACAGGAAUUACUUUACUCACCAUCACUGAAAUGCCACCAUAUCUCGGGUAAACAUGGUAACUCACUUUUAUUGUGUCACUGAAAAAUGGCACCUCAGGUAGAACAGGGCAGCUCAGCACCAUACUGGGGCAUUGGUUCAACAAUGUGUCAGAGGGAAGAGUGCUAUUCACUAGGUUAACUAACACCAUUUCUUAGAGGUGUCCCAUCAAAGUUGUUUUCAUGUCCAGCCCUGUUUUUAGUUUUAAGCCUCGACAUGGUAACAAUCUGCAGGCCAUUCAACUAUGUACUGAAGCUGGAAUUUCAAAGUUGUUCCAGGGGAGUUAGAUGCCUAACUCCAUUUGGAUGGGUGGCAUUCCUAUUCCCCCAAGGCACUUUUGAAAAUCAGAGUCUAGCCGCCCUCAUAAGAAGUUGAGCAACUGGAGAGGAAUGACUCUCUCUCUCUCUCUCUCUCUCUCUCUCUCUCUAAGGUUUAUGAGACUACCACUGUAUUUUAUAUAAAUAUAUUUUAGGAUAUGCAAUGAGUUUGUAAUGGUGCUCACUGGAAUUACUAAUUCUUGACAUAGUGCUUUGGGAAUGAUGAUGAAAAAUAUAGUACAUACUUAACUACCAACUUUGUGUAGCAUCAGAUGUAGCAAAAUAUGGAAUCUUCUCAUUGGUCACAAUUACAGUUUGUGAGAAUACCUACUGGUACUUACAUGAUUGUAGUUAUGCUUCAGGGCCUGUCAGAUAUUUACUGGCCUUUCAAAAGUCUAAACUCUACUCUGAAGGUGACUAAUAUAAUUUUAACUCACCACUUAGCUGAAACCAAUUACAUGAUACAUAUAAUUUGUUUUCUAGCUUAAGUACGGGGCUUAUUCAUACUGGUGGAGGUGCAAGAAUUAGGCAUGAAAUAUGUCCUUAAAUAUGAGCAUUGUAUCAUCCAUUUGUCAUACUGGCACCUUUUUUGGUAGUAUGGAUAAGGGAAGAAACUGGGAUGAAUCGUACUGUAUGUAGUUUGCACUAAAUCUGCCCACUUGUGAACUACUCAGCUUCAGAUCUGUGGACUUGCAUCUUUGGGAGGAAAGCAGUAGAGAGAGACUGCCUUAACUUUCAAAAUUUUAUCUCUAAGAGCUGUUCCUUUAAGAAUUCUGCCCCCCUCCCCAGCUUUAGUUUCCUGCAGGGGUUGUGGGGAUGAAGGGGCUUAGGAUAGAACUGCACUUCUAUUCAAAAAGGGUUGAGUUGCUUUAUGAGCAUGAUCCGCCAAUCCGUAAUCAAGGGUUAAUUUCACAGCUCACUGCUUCAUCUAGCAUAAUAUCCAUUCAGACUAAUUAAAUCUGUCUAAUAAUGUGAGUGUCUUUGUCUUUGUUCUUUCCAUUCUUUGUUUUACACCCUUCACAUCUCAUCUCCAGAACUACACGCCAUCACACUCUGCUUGACAAGCAGAAUCCAUCCCUAAAAUUAAAACAUUCCUGACCUAUCUGCGAUGACAAGGCAAGCGAGCUUCACAGCGCUGCGGCCCAUGAAGGGAGCUGACACAUUUGUUUUUAAUUUCAAAAGAGUAGAAAGUGAAGAUCUGACCCCGUCAAUCAGGCCUCGUGACAAGUUUAAUCAUUGCUGCCCCACAAAAAUCACGGCUAAAUAGGAAUGCAAAUAAUGUAUCACAGGGCUCUUAUAAAUGCUAAUCAAGGAGAAGUAAUCAACUGACAAUUUCACUGAUCUCCUUUCUGAAGGAGUCAGUCAACGCACUGUCUCUGGACCACAAAGAGAAGAAAAGACAAAAGGCAUAGAUGCCGUUUCCCAAAAAAAGUCCUUUUUCAGGGUUUUUUUUUCCUUAAAAAAAGAAAGA